rnacentral:rRNA from 1 species
UACGGGAGGCAGCGGUGGGGAAUAUUGCACAAUGGGCGCAAGCCUGAUGCAGCCAUGCCGCGUGUAUGAAGAAGGCCCUUCGGGUUGUAAAGUACUUUCAGUCGUGAGGAAGGUGUUAAGGUUAAUAACCUUAGCAAUUGACGUUAGCGACAGAAGAAGCACCGGCUAACUCCGUGCCAGCAGCCGCGGUAAUACGGAGGGUGCGAGCGUUAAUCGGAAUUACUGGGCGUAAAGGGCACGCAGGCGGUUAAUUAAGUUGGAUGUGAAAUCCCCGGGCUUAACCUGGGAAUGGCAUUCAAGACUGGUUAGCUAGAGUCUUGUAGAGGGGGUAGAAUUCCAUGUGUAGCGGUGAAAUGCGUAGAGAUGUGGAGGAAUACCGGUGGCGAAGGCGGCCCCUGGACAAAGACUGACGCUCAUGUGCGAAAGCGUGGGGAGCAAACAGGGAUUAGAUACC